rnacentral:rRNA from 1 species
GACGAACGCUGGCGGCGCGCUUAACACAUGCAAGUCGAGCGAGAACCAGUCCUUCGGGACUGGGGAAAGCGGCGAACGGGUGAGUAACACGUGGGUAAUCUGCCCUCGGCACUGGGAUAGCCCGGGGAAACCCGGAUUAAUACCGGAUAGCCUUUCGAGCCUUCGGGCUCGUCGGAAAAGGUGGCUUCGGCUUCCGGCUGAGGAUGAGCCCGCGGCGGAUUAGCUUGUUGGUGGGGUAAUGGCCUACCAAGGCGACGAUCCGUAGCUGGUCUGAGAGGGCGAUCAGCCACACUGGGACUGAGACACGGCCCAGACUCCUACGGGAGGCAGCAGUGGGGAAUCUUGCGCAAUGGGCGAAAGCCUGACGCAGCGACGCCGCGUGCGGGAAGAAGGCCUUCGGGUUGUAAACCGCUUUCAGGAGGGACGAAGCCACUCGGGUUAAUAGCCCAGAGGGUGACGGUACCUCCAGAAGAAGCCCCGGCUAACUACGUGCCAGCCGCCGCCGUAAAAC